GGGAUCUUAGCUCAGCUGGGAGAGCACCUGCCUUACAAGCAGGGGGUCACAGGUUCGAGCCCUGUAGGUCCCA
rfam:Eubacterium uniforme strain ATCC 35992 genome assembly, contig: EI43DRAFT_scaffold00010.10